rnacentral:rRNA from 1 species
GACGAACGCUGGCGGUGUGCCUAAUACAUGCAAGUAGAACGCUGAAGAGAGGAGCUUGCUCUUCUUGGAUGAGUUGCGAACGGGUGAGUAACGCGUAGGUAACCUGCCUGGUAGCGGGGGAUAACUAUUGGAAACGAUAGCUAAUACCGCAUAAAAUUGAUUAUUGCAUGAUAAUUAAUUGAAAGAUGCAACUGCAUCACUACCAGAUGGACCUGCGCUGUAUUAGCUAGUUGGUGAGGUAACGGCUCACCAAGGCGACGAUACAUAGCCGACCUGAGAGGGUGAUCGGCCACACUGGGACUGAGACACGGCCCAGACUCCUACGGGAGGCAGCAGUAGGGAAUCUUCGGCAAUGGGGGGAACCCUGACCGAGCAACGCCGCGUGAGUGAAGAAGGUUUUCGGAUCGUAAAGCUCUGUUGUAAGAGAAGAACGGGUGUGAGAGUGGAAAGUUCACACUGUGACGGUAUCUUACCAGAAAGGGACGGCUAACUACGUG